rnacentral:lncRNA from 1 species
CUGUAUUAAAAUGCAAGCUCUUAUGAUUUAUACAAGUAAGUGCAAUAUUACGUUAUGAUGUUAUAUUCAUAUUACGUUUAAUUAAUAUGUUUUAUUCAUAACACAGCUGUUAGUUGGACCCCCUGUGUAAAAACAUCGAUAAAUGUCGGGCUGUUGUGAUUUUGCUGUCACUCGUAAUGAGCGUCAAGAUGGCGCUCUAUUGGGGUAAAGGUGGUAUAUUGUGAUUGUCAUAUCUUCUUAACGAGUUCGGUGACCCCGACUUUUUUGUGUGAUUUUACUUUAAGUAUAUUACAAACUCCGUGCCUGGGAAGUUUCAGCACAUUCUUAUUUCGGGAACAAUUACUGCGGAAUUACCUUAAACAGAGUAAAAUAAUUUGAGAGAAUUUCACAGAGAUCUGCGACCCAUCUAUGAGUCUGGUCGAUUGUUUCCGUGGAUCUUCGCGCAGAACUGCCAGCUGAGCUUGGAAUGUACAAUAAUAAAGUGGGUUAAAUAUAUUCUAUAGUAAAGAUUUUUUAUUUAAAAAGUAUACAAUUAUAUAUAGUCAUACAUAGCUUUGAUCGCGUUUUUAUUAGCCUGCGAACAGGCUCACUGGGAGAAAGGUGAGCCUGCACGGAACCAUGCGUUUUAUUCAUUCAUCCCCUUUUCGCACUGCUAAACGCUAACCAAUCAGCGUCGACUGCGAUAAAUAAACUGUCAACUGUCAAAUUGACGCAAGGCGUGUACAUUGUGCAACAUGAACAAUAAUAAUACAAAGCAUUAGCGGGCCGCACAAUAUAUUACUCGGAAAAAUAUAGAAUUCUUCAAAUAUUAAAUAGAUAUCAAUACACAUACAAAUAUAAAGCCGAAUAAACUACCAUUGGCUUUGAAUGUACAGUAAUACUUGUACUAUGUGCGACUGAAAGAACAAUGUUCUGAAUAUUUUGAAGCUAUUACUAAAAUACGGUCAGAUAGAUUGGGAUUUGGAAUACCGAAUACGUUUAAAAUUUUACUAACUGUGGUCUAAAUAAAUGAUAAAUGAGCAUGUAUUUAUUAAUUUCUUCGAAAUCACGAGUGUGCCAAUAGUGGAAGCCGUAUCGACGACGAAAUUGUCAGCAGUUAAUAUACAGUAAACAGUACAACGUUUAAUGUACGAUAUAUAUUUAUCUAAAUGACAUGCCAGCGAGGAUCGACAAUAUAAUUAUUCGUACAUAUUUGGGUAUCUUUUGUAUGCCUUCGCUUGCUGACUUGCUCACUAAUGAGAAUAAUCCGUGAAGCCACGACGACCUCAAAAUGUACUAUACUAUGGUCUGAUGUCAAUCCGAAGACGAAGUUCAGAAUACUGUUAUAGUUUCGUAUAUUGGAUUUAAGCGAUAGAUUCAAGUCAUUUAUGAUAGACUUUUUUGCUGUGAUGCUUUGCUAUUGCUUUUGGUUUCCAUUUCUAGUUUUAUUUGUUCGAUAGUCCUAUAAUAUAUAAUAUUAAAAUGAAUAAAGUUCAAAUUCUUCAAAAUGCUGUUGUUGACAUUUGCUAUUUUUAGUAAUUUUGUCAACGAGUGUAAGCCAAUCAGAAGCCUGCGUUUCUAUACGAACGCCACUACCAAGAAAACCUAUCAUCCGUGCAGGCCCUCUAUUCUUCGCGCCGCCCGCAACCCAGGGCCUGUUCGCAGGCUACGUUUUUAUCAGUCAACUGCACCGAAUUUCUUACAUAUAUAGGCCUAUAUGUAUGCACGGACCACCAAUUCCACCACCAACUUUCAAGGACUUGAAUCAACAACUCCAAAAGAGUUACUCUGUCAUGACAGAAUAACACUUUUGGAGAUUGAAAUAAUUUACAAUGCAACACUACAGUGUAAGUAGGAACACAGUAGCUUUGUCGAUAUUAUUAAACAUAUUGCGACAAUUUUGUUGUUUUGACAGUUGUUAAAAAUAUCUUGCGGCAUCAUCUUUGAACUUUCUUCCCCCCUUGUGAGUGUUCACAUGGAGAAAUUUUUCUCCUGGUAAGCGAAAUCUUGCCUCUUUCAAGCGAGAUCACGGUACCUGAUUUUACUAUAUAAAAAUAAUUAUACACAGUAAGAUCUCGCUUACCGGGCUGUCUCGCUAAUUUUCGAAGCCAUGAUAAUAUCACUGUGUAUAAUCUUUUUGACGAAAACAUUUAUUGCAUGCAUUAAGCAUUAUUAAGCUAAAACUAAAAGUUAUUUAUUUAAACUUUUAAUAUACAGUAUAUUUUGAUUUGAACCUCGUUCCCAGGAUUUUCAUGGUGUGGAUGGGGCAUACUUCCAUGUAAGAGAAAAAAGGACAAAAAAGGGAUAAUGCCACUUUCAUGGAAACUCUUGCUUCGAAGUAUUCAAUUAAUAUAAAAAGACAAUAUACCCGUUGGGGUAAAAAAUCGAGUCACACUGCCCUGCAGGAGAAAAAGUCAACAAGUAACUAAAAAAUGCUGCCUUUUUAUGGCAACUCUUGCUUCCAAAUUAAUAAGAGCUAGACACUACAUACACAACUCUUUAUAUAUUACUAUAUCUAAGUAUAUCGAACAGUUUUAGGAAACAGACUGUUUGACAUAUAAUUCGUUGCUAAAAAGUUGCAAGGUUGCCAAAUGACAAUGCACGCUGCAGGCUAUAUAUGCAAUUACUGUUUUUCCAGGCUCCGUGAAUAAGUCAAGCUGAGCUGUAAAAACACUUAUGAACCAAAAUACAUAGCAUACUGUAUCACGUUUUAUUAACGACAUAAUAUAACAUAUAGUAUAGGUCGGUCUUGUUAGAGACUGUAUAGGAUUACACUAAACUCUUCAGUACAAUUGCUUUAAUUAAAGAUACUCUUUAGUUUAGACUAGCUUUAUUUUACGACAAGAAAGAAUAGUUUAAAACAUACAACGUCACUGCAAUUGUAAAUUUCUGCAUGUACAUGCAUGCAGGUAAAAUUAUAAUAUUCGCAUGAGAUAUAAAAUUUCUUACAUAAGCAAUUUUCACAAAGAACGAUGUGUCAUAUUGUAGAUCUUACAUAAUUACAGGUCCUUACCGCGAUCCUUGUAGGAUAACAGCUUUCAGUAGCUGAACAAUUUUAACCUGAUAAAUAUAGAAUAAGAAAUGUGUUAGAAAUAUUAAAGAUUUAAAGUGAAAUAAUUUCAAAAUAAUGCACAAUGUCAAUGAACUCGUGUUUUCAGUAUUACUAUUUCUUUUUCAAGGCAAAAGCGGUUUCGGAGACAAAGAGUAUGGCAUGACCGUUUCACCUUCUUAAAAUCAUUCAAAUGUUUUUAAAUAAAUUCACAAAUGGAUGAUUCCAGCUGCAGUUUGAUUUAGGCAAAAAAACGAAAUCCAUCAGACCAUCACCAUACAGCUAAAAAGAUCAUCUUAAAAUUAGUAACAUUGCCAAGUUUGGUUGCGACUUGCGAAAUAUUGUAAAAUGAGGAAAAUAUAGCUUUGUAUUAUUUUGUAUUACGCGCAGGAAAAUGCACCAAAGCGAGAUCUCACUGUGUAUAGCUAUUUUUAGAGUUGAAUGUACCAAGAUCUCGCUAAUUGAAAGAGGCAAGAUCUCUCUUACCAGGACGAAAAUUUCUCUCUUCUUUAAGACGAGUAUAUUGAAUAAAAUAUGAUAAUUUCGUAUUAAUUUGUAUUAUACGCAAGGCAAAAUGCACCACAUGCACAUUUGGGCCGAAAGGUCUCGCUAAUUUUCGAAGCCAUGAUAAUAUCACUGUGUAUAAUCUUUUUGACGAAAACAUUUAUUGCAUUAAGCAUUAUUAAGCUAAAACUAAAAGUUAUUUAUUUAAACUUUUAAUAUACAGUAUAUUUUGAUUAACCUCGUCCCCAGGAUUUUCAUGGUGUGCAUGGAUGGGGCAUACUUCCCAUAUGCAAGAGAAAAAAUCGACAAAAAAGGGAAAAUGCCACUUUCAUGGCAACUCUUGAUUCGAAAUAUUCAAUUAUAAAAAGACAAUAUAUACCCGUUGGGGUAAAAAAUCGAGUUACACUGCCCUGCAGGAGAUGAAGUCAACAAGUAACUAAAAAAUGCUGCCUUUUUAUGGCAACUCUUGCUUCCAAAUUAAUAAGAGCUAGACACUACAUACACAACUCUUUAUAUAUUACUAUAUCUUAGUAUAUCGAACCGUUUUAGGAAACAGACUGUUUGACAUAUAAUUCGUUGCUAAAAAGUAGCAAGGUUGCCAAAUGUGACAAUGCACGCUGCGGGAUAUAUGCAAUUACUGUUUUUUCAGGCUCCAUGAAUAAGUCAAGCUGAGCUGUAAAAACGCUUAUAAACCAAAAUACAUAGCAUACUGUACACGCUUUAUUAACGACAUAAUAACAUACAGUUAUAGGUCGGUCUUGUUAGAGACUGUAUAGGAUUACACUAAACUCUUCAGUACAAUUGCUUUAAAGAUACUCUUUAGUUUAGACUUUACUUUACGACAAGAAAGAAUAGUUUAAAUAUACAAUGUCACUGCAAUUGUAAAUUUUUGCAUGUACAUGCAUGCAGGUAAAAUUAUACUAUUUUCAUGAGAUAUAAAAUUUCUUACAUAAGCAAUUUUCACAAAGAACGAUGUGUCAUAUUGUAGAUCUUACAUAAUUACAGGUCCUUACCGCGAUCCUUGUAGGAUAACAGCUUUCAAUAGCUGAACAAGUUUUAACCUGAUAAAUAUAGAAUAAGAAAUGUGUUAGAAAUAUUGAAGUGAUAUAAUUUCAAAUGCACAAUGUCAAUGAACUCGUGUUUUAAUUUCAGUAUUACUAUUUCUUUUUCAAGGCAAAAGCGGUUUCCAUGAUAAAGAGUAUAUAUGGCAUGACUUUCACCUUCUUACUGUAAAAUCAUACUUUAAAUGUUUUUAAAUAAAUUCACAAUCAGUUUGAUUUAGGCAAAAAAAACGAAAUCCAUCACAGCAGCUAAAUAGAGCAUCUUAAAAUUCGUAACAUUGUCAAGUUUGGUUGCGACUUGCGAAAUCUUGUAAAAUGAGGAAAAUAUAGCCCUACAAAAUUUGCAAAUUUUGUAUUAUUUUGUAUUACGCGCGGGAAAAUGCACCACUUUCGGCCCAAAUGUGGUGCAUUUUGCUUUGCGUAAUACAAAUUAAUACGAAAUUAUCAUAUUCUAUAUUCAAUACUCGUCUUAGGGAAGAGAGAAAUUUAAAAGAGAAAAAUAACUAUACACAGUGAGAUCUCGCUUACCGGACUGUCUCGCUAAUUUUCCGGAAACCAUGAUAACACUACUUUAAUUAUAAUCUUUUUAACGAAUACAUUUAUUGCAUUAAGCAUUAUAUUAUUAAAGCUAAAACUGAAAGUUAUUUAUUUAAACUCUUAAUAUACUGUAUAUUUUGAUCAACCUCGUCCCCAUUUUCAUGGUGUGGAUAGGGGCGAAGCUAAUGGGGGCCGGGGGGGAUGCAGGAGAAAAAUCAGGAAAAAGGGAGAAAUUCCGCUUUCAUAGCAACUCUUGCUUCGAAUUAUUUAAUUAUUGUACAGAGACAAUAACCGUUAGAAAAAUCGAUUUACCCUGCAGGAGAAAAAGUCAAUAACAAGCAACUAAAAAAUGCUGCCUUUUUAUGGCAGCUCUUGCUUCCAAAUGAAGAGACACUAUACAUACACAACUCUCUAUAUAUUACUAUAUCUAAGUGUAUCGAACCGUUUUAGGAAACAGACUGUUUGAAAGUACAAAUUCGUUGCUAAAAGUUGCAACGUUGUCGUUGCCAAAUGACAAUGCACGCUGCGGGAUAUGUGCAAUUACUAGCUGUUCAGUUUUUUCUAUACCAAUGGCAAUGAGUCACGCCAGCUGGAACUGUAAAAACGCUUAUAAACCGAAAUACAUAUAGCAUACUGUAUUCAGUACUAUUCAGUACAGUUGCUUAGUUUAUAAAUUAAAAGAUAGUCUUUAGUUUAGACUUUACGACACGACAAAAAGGAAUAGUUUAAAAUAUACAAAGUAUACAACCAUGCGGGUUAUAAUACCUUAUAAUACAUUAUAAUAUUUGAGAAUAUAGCAUAAAAUCUUUUACAUAACUCAUAAGCAAUUUUCACAAAGAAUAUGUGUCAAUUACAGAUCCUUACAGGUCUUUGACCCUGUAUAGGAUAACAACUUUCAGUAGCUGAACAAGUUUUAACCGGAUAAAUACAGAAUAAUAAUAAUAAUAUGAAAUGAUCCUACUCGCAUUAAUUUGUGAAUUUAUUUAAAAACAUUUAAAGUAGAUUUUGAGAAGGUGAAACGGUCAUGCCAUACUCUUUGUCUCGGAAACCGCUUUUGCCUUGAAAAAAAAUAGUACGUAAUACUGAACACACGAAUUCAUUGAAAUUGACCAUUUGAAAUUAUUUCACAUAUUGCUAAUGGCCCGUUUGUACACUUUUGCUGCGAUUGUAUAGGUGCGAUUUUCUUCUUCUGAUGGAUGUGAACGAGUGGAUGAGUUAUGGAUGUUCAGAUGAAGGUAUACAUGAGAUGAGUUAUGAAUAUUCUGUGCAUGUACAUGAGAGCGAGUGUUUCACCGGGAUAUAUUUGUUCACAUUCAUCAGAAGAAGAAAAUCGCACUAAAAAUCGCAGCCAAAAUUGCAAGUGUAUAAACGAGCCUUAACAUAUUUCUGCAACGUCACUGUCACUGGAAUUUCAAAACAAUGAAAUUAUCAUAUAACCUGUUCUAUUCGAUUUUCACUAAAUUAAAAAACCCGAUGCACAACUGUUUUUGAAAUUUCUAAAUGAACUUAAUAAUGAAGUGAUGUGAAUUUAAAGGGAUGACUUUAAAAGCUGAAAAAGUCAUGCAACACAUCAAAUAAAAGUCAUACAACAAAUUGCCAAAUGGGAUUUGGCAUGGCCUUGAAUAUUUAACCAAAAACAGCUGAUUGUUCAUAAAUUUCUCCUUCAUGCAUGCAGGUCGGUCUUAAAAUAGCCAGUGAUUAAAAAUUUUGAUUCAUAAUCAGUUGGGAAAACCCUAUAUAUCAUUUGCAUAACUAUAUAGUUUGGGUGGGGGUAUAUAAAUCCAUGUCGUUUGACGAUUGAGUCAAGUCAUUGCAUGAAAAAAUUAGAACAAGGUCAAGCAUUUAUUUUAAUGUAAACUUAAUUUAAAAUGAGGUGGAUAUUCAACGAAGUCAAAGAGUUUGGGACAAUCAAAGAUCGGCUGUGGCUUUUCGCCAUUUAUACAUUUAAGGUAAAACUAGCUUUUGUUGUGCUGUUUUGUGUUAUGUUGCGUUGCGUUUAGACAGAUUUAGAAAAGACGACGUGCUAAACUCAACGACGUGAUUUCAAUUUCAGUUGAAGAAUUAAUAAGCGCUAUGAGGAAUGUGAUUGUUGUAAUAAAUGCUAGCAAAGUUUAUAAAAUAAAAAGUUACAAAAAGCCAAGCUAUAUGUGAAAAUGCCUAGUUUAACAUUGAGUUCGGAAUAAUAACGUUGUUGUUGAAGGGAUCAGUCAGCUUUGUCUUGCAAGAAGAAUUUCUUCGUUUCGAAGGGCGUCUUUGAGAUCGCAUCGUCCAUUAUUUUUGUUGAAACAAUGCCUAUAAUUUCCAUGCAGUUUAGAAUCAGGAAACAUAUGGACACAAACAAUUAAUGUGUUUUGAAAACGGCACAGAAAAGUCUCGAUUAGCCGUGGCACUUCUAAUACCAGUCACUACGCCAUAGAGAAAUUGUUUGAAAACGUUACUUUCGCUGUAACAAUUUGAGCACGGUUUCUAAACGGAGCGAGAUGAAAACGGGGCGCUUGGACGCUUCGUGUGAACACAAAAUAAUGCUGUCACCUAGCUUUUUUGUACCGCUUGCAAACCAUGCAAGUAUCUCAGAUCUCAAAACAGAAAAUUCGACUAAUUAUAUGCUUUUCAUUUAAACUUCUUUGCUCUAUUUGAAAUAUGUUGGUUUAUAUGAGUGCUAUAAUAGAAUUGGUAAACAAACUGAAACGGUGUAGUGUGAACAUGCAUACGUAUAUUCUGUCCGCAUUAUUUUGCUCCGGUGUUGUGUGGAACGUAUAGUCUGAAACUAAAAUAUAGCCUCCCUAUUUUCCAGGCCAGGGUGAUUAUGAUCAGAAUAUUAAGUUGUCAGUUGCAAAACCCCAAUGUCUGCACUCUAGAGGUCACUUGGAGACUGGAUAUCACCCAGCGAAUUACUGUAAAUUUAAUAUGUAUACAUGGGUUUGAUUCUCGCUACGGACUCAUGUGAAAAGAGUCAGUCAAGGCCAGUCAAUGCUCUGCCGACAGUCGUGGGUUUUCUCAGGGUUCUCCGGUUUCCUACCAUAGGGAAAGUUGACAGGGUGGGUUAGUAUAAACACAGCAAAGAAAUUAAUAUCACAAUUGUUGUAAAGAUAAAAUAGUCUACACGCGUAAAAACGCUCAGGUUGAUGAAAUACUGAUGAAAACAGGAUUGAACAAUGUUUUGCUGCCCACAUUGUUCAUAGCUGUCAACAAUAUUGAACAAUAUUGUUACACCCGAUUCAGGCUCAACAACAUUGUUCAAUAUUGUUGACAAGUGUGAACAACAUGGGCAGCAAAACAUUGUUCAGUCCCGUUGGACAGCGGGCUCGGCGUUUUUUGCCGUGUAGGCUAAGUAUUGUAUUUAGGUAAGCGUAAUACUUGAUGUAAAAUGCAUUUGAUCAUAGAUAUGAUACAGAAUUCGAAAUGUUAUAAUCGUAAUCGUAUCAUGCAUACGAUAUAUAUAUAUAUAUAUAUAUAUAUAUAUAUAUCGGCUAAUUACGCAUUCUGCAAGAAAGCUUAUGCGCUUGUCUUGCAUCCUCGCACCCAGGGUCUUUUCGACCGUGGCACCAGAGCAUGAGAGAGAAUAGCCUGGAUACGAGGUUUGCUGAGCUUGUGGCUAAGCCACGACCCACAGACGCUCUGGGUGCGAGGUUAGACAGUGAGACUUUUGCUAAUUUCUUAUCCAAUCAUCCAAAUUUAACCAAAAUUAAUUUGUUCUUGGGCAAUGUCAAGUAAUCUCACAAAUUUAUCAUAUUCUAUAAGUUAUUGUAUUAAAAGGUAAAGUCAGAUAACUAUAUAACAUGAUUUUAAUCAAUUAAUUAUCGUAAAGUGUGUCGAAAGAGAAAUAUAGACGAUAUGUCUUCGAAAAGCACAAAGAUCAUCUGUUAGAAGCUGUCUUUUAUACGAUUACAGUUGUGGUGGGAAGUUGGGUUUUUCGUCUAUGGGGAAUACACAGGCUGUGUAUUUGUGGGGAUGGAGUGCUCCCAAAGGUCACCGUCAACUCCAUAGACUCACACAAAUCAAUGUAUUAUACAGUGUAUUGUAAAGUAAACAAUGAUCAUCACGGGGGUCUACUACCCCUUGGACAUUAAAGUAAACAAUGACCAUCACGGGGAUCUACUACCCCUUGGACAUUUAGGAUGCCCAUCUCGGGGAUCUACUACCCCUUGGGUAAAGUCCAACAUGGGGGAACCAUGACCCCCAGAGGACAUAUCAUUAUAUCAUAAUCAUAUUGCUGUAAUAGUGAGUCUGUGGGGCGACACUUUGGUCACAGUUUAAAGUAUAAUCGGAGCAUUUCUCCUCGACAACCCUUCUCCCACAACUUUGUGUGUGUCAUAGUUGUUUUCUUAAUUGUCUUAGAAUAUUUGCUUAACGAAUUGGUGCAUAAAACCUUGUGCAUAAAACCUUGUCCAAACUUUAGGCUGAGUUAGUUCCGAUAAAAAUGGAUGUUAUAUAUUCUCAAGAAUAUAUAACUUCAGGCUGUUAUAUACUCUUAAGCUGUUAGGUUCUAAAGUUGAUCUAUUUUACUGUAGGUGAUAUAUUUAUUCCAUUUCAUCCCAAGACUGUUUGGCCUGACGAUCUUUUCUGGAUUCGAUUCAAAAUGCGCUUUUUACGAAAACGCUUCGAUUUUCAAUUGCACACAAGAGUUUUUUGUAACACGCCCGAAACAGUGGAUCCUGUGUUGGCUAGUAUCAUCCAUCUUAUCUUCCAUCUGCCUGUAUUUCAUCUGUAUCUCGCGUAUGAAGCGAAUGAGAAUAUGUCAAGCGUGUAGACUUGUCAGUUUCUGGGUCAUGAUGAUACUAUUCUCCAUAACCUCCGCAAGUUUCCUGGUGCGAAUCAUCAAUACAGACCCAGAAGACAUGCCUUUGUUCUUGGCGUUGUUUAUAUGGUGGCCGUCAACAGUGUGGCAAAUUAUUUACUUGGACAAUCAAUACCCCGUCAGCUAUCCACUUAGCCAACCGCAAUCGUAAGUGAUCUAAAACAAUUC